GAGUUUGAUCCUGGCUCAGGAUGAACGCUAGCGAUAGGCUUAACACAUGCAAGUCGAGGGGCAGCAUGAACUUAGCUUGCUAAGUUUGAUGGCGACCGGCGCACGGGUGCGUAACGCGUAUGCAACUUGCCUUACAGAGGGGGAUAACCCGUUGAAAGACGGACUAAUACCGCAUAUACUUAUUCGGUUGCAUGACCGGGCAAGGAAAUAUUUAUAGCUGUAAGAUAGGCAUGCGUCCCAUUAGCUGGUUGGUGAGGUAACGGCUCACCAAGGCAACGAUGGGUAGGGGAACUGAGAGGUUUAUCCCCCACACUGGUACUGAGACACGGACCAGACUCCUACGGGAGGCAGCAGUGAGGAAUAUUGGUCAAUGGGCGAGAGCCUGAACCAGCCAAGUCGCGUGAAGGAAGACUGUCCUAAGGAUUGUAAACUUCUUUUAUACGGGAAUAACGGGCGAUACGCGUAUUGCUGUG
rnacentral:rRNA from 1 species